rnacentral:rRNA from 1 species
CCUACGGGUGGCAGCAGUGAGGAAUAUUGGUCAAUGGACGAGAGUCUGAACCAGCCAAGUAGCGUGAAGGAUGACUGCCCUAUGGGUUGUAAACUUCUUUUAUAUGGGAAUAAAACGUUCCACGUGUGGGAUUUUGUAUGUACCAUAUGAAUAAGGAUCGGCUAACUCCGUGCCAGCAGCCGCGGUAAUACGGAGGAUCCGAGCGUUAUCCGGAUUUAUUGGGUUUAAAGGGAGCGUAGGUGGAUUGUUAAGUCAGUUGUGAAAGUUUGCGGCUCAACCGUAAAAUUGCAGUUGAAACUGGCAGUCUUGAGUACAGUAGAGGUGGGCGGAAUUCGUGGUGUAGCGGUGAAAUGCUUAGAUAUCACGAAGAACUCCGAUUGCGAAGGCAGUUCACUGGACUGCAACUGACACUGAGGCUCGAAAGUGUGGGUAUCAAACAGGAUUAGAUACCUCAGUAGUC